CUCAGUGCCACUACUGACACUGAUGGACCGAGUUCAAUGCCUGGGACUCGCAUGCUGAACAGAUAUUUGCCUAUGUUUGUUGUGCUUGUGGCCUGGAAUGAGCUCUGAUAGAUUCCAAGGUAAGUGCUUCCGCUGCUAUGCCAUCUUGCUACCCUCUACUCUUCUGAACUAAGUUUUAGGUUAACACGCAAAGGUAUGGGCUUUCUCCUGGUAUUUUAUAUAUAUGUGUCAUUGCACUUUGCUCUCGCUUCUUCCCCUCCCACACUCUACUCUCCAGUCUUUCAUAUUGCUGUCUGGUAUUAUCCUGGCCUCUACAGUGGCUCUUAUAGUCAACACUUGACUCUGAACACAAACUGCUGUCUUUACCUUUAAGGCAUGGUCAAAUAUAGUGUUUUGUUUUUUCCACUGGUGUUGUUCCCAUUCUCACCUGAAUUACUGUAGUUUUUCACUUGGGUAACUGUGGUAGCUUUCCAGUCAGUGUCCGCCUUGGAUCCUGAAAACUUAUUCUCCCGAACAGCAGCCACAGUGACCCCUUAAAUAGUUAAUGUGGAUCAUUUUACACCUCUGCUAAAACUCUUCAGUAGAUUUCCACUUUUUUGGGAAUAAAAGGUAGUUCCUAUGAUAACCUUCAAGUUCUUUCUCUUACCUGUGUCAUCUUUCUCCGAUUUCCUUUUCUCACUCCCUUUAGCAUCACCCAAGCUCCUUGCCGUUCUUUGGCAGUGUUAUGCAUGCUGUUGUCUCAGGAUUUUUGCAUGUGUAGUCCUCACCAUGUAAGAUCCCUCCCCACCCACAACUGAACUCAGGGCCUCAUGCAUGAGGGGCAAGCACUCGACCACUGAGCUGUUUAUCCAGCCUUCCCCUUAUUUAUUAAUUUGUCUCUGUUCGUCAGCAUUUCACUCCUUAUACUUAAAGUACUUGUGAAGUACACGUGCCUCUGUUUGCAAAAUGUAAUGGUGAGGAGGGGUUUCCUGUAGAAACAAUUCAUGAACUGAAAUAUUAAAGAGGAGAAUUGAAGUGAAGAAAAAGGGAAGAUGCCUUCAUGCAAGGAGAAAUAUGCAUAUACCAACUUCCUCCAAUAGGAGGUGAGGCCAUGUUGAGAACAACAGACUAAUAAGUGCCUACAUCACCACACUCAUGGCCAUGAAGUGAUCAAUAUUGGUCUCUCUAUCCACUCAAAAACACAAAGUGAAGAGUUUGGUAAGUGCUCUUGGGUGAAGGACCUACUUGGAGGAGGAUAGUAGUAUGCCUGUUUUAGCUGAAUUUCUGGCUAACUUCCUGUUAUCAGGGAAGUGGGGUAUAUGGCAAGACAUUAGCUGCUACUCAAACUCCAAUUCAGAAUGGCAGAGGGUCUAUUUCUGUGAACAAUGUUGAGGAUGUCUCUCUCUGGUUAGAAGCUCACUCUAACCACUUGAAGAGGAGAUGUUUCCCAGUCCAGAAAUCAAUAAGUUAGAAAAAGUUUUCAGGGAAACAAGCAGGUGACAGCAUGCUGACAUUUUUCUUUGAAGCGUACUGAAUACUCUAUACAGUUUCAUGCUAAGUCCGUUGCGUAAAAAAGCUCUGACAGGGCUGAAGAAAUGGCUCAGUGGUUAAGAGCACUCACUGCUCUUCCACUAGGACCAGGAUUUGUUUCCUAGCACCUACAUGGUGCUUCCAACUCUCUGUAAGUCUAGUUCCAGGAGAUCUGAUGCUCUGUUCUGGUCUCAGUGGGCACCAGAACGCAUGUGGUGCAUAGACCUGCACGUGGCCAAAACGUGUGUACAUAAAGUGAAAACAAACGAAUCUUUAAAAAGCGUUUUGUUAAUGGAGCCUGAUAGAGUCUACAGAUAAGACCUGCCUUACUGGACAAGAUGCCCUUUGGUAGAAGCCACUGAGUUGGAAUUUUUCAGGGACGGUAUUAAAGGGAAGGAAGGUAAAGGAGGGAGGCCAUAAACAACCACCAGUAAAAUGCUGUUCUCUUAAUCACCUCCAAACUCUCGACAGCUCUGCUCAGGUGAGCCCUGAUUUCCUCAUUCGCUCCAUCAGACCCUUCUCACCACUCUCCAAAUCUUUGGGGGAGACUGGCUUGAUGAAGUAUGCUCAUGAUCACCUCUUGUGCUGUACCCAUGAGGGUGAAGCUACGGCACUUAGUCCCAGGGUCUCUUCCUGAGUUGCUUGCCUUGGAAUUCAGUGGUAUCUUUUGCUGUUUCUCUUAGCCCUGGCUACUGUUUUUUGUAAAUAGUUUUUAGUACUCCCUGCUGCUGGAGCUCAGGCUGGCAUCAAGACUCAGGCCCUUCUGACUGAGUAUUGUUUGAGGGAGUCAAAGCCAGGAGAGACGGCAGAUUGUUUAUAGAGUGCACAGAAGCACAAGGAGAAAUCUGAGAAGAUGUGGGAUUUAGUGCAAAGUAUCUAGCAGACAACAUGUGAGCUUACUGAAACUGGACAUCUGCAAACAGUCUGAGAAUAGAGCAGACUGGAUGUCAAAUUGUCUGCAUCCAUGACUAAUCCACGCUGAUCCUGAAGAUGACAGUAUGAAUUAGGAUACAUUUGGGGGAAGUUUACAGACUGAUGAUACCCUUCUGUAAUAGUAACCUGAACAGCGGUCCUCAAAGACUGGAAAGGCAGUCACUAACUCACUGUUUCUGUUCCAGCGGCAUCAAUACCUUCCAGCCCGAAGGGCUCCCUUGCUCUUCAUUCACUUAGGAUGUCCCCUGGUUCUUGCCUCCUAUUUAUUUGUAAGACAGGAUCAAUAAACGAGCAACCAGCAAUUCGCCCGAGUUAAAGAAAUAACUCUGCCGUUCAAAACCUCUGUGGAGAAUAAAUAAAAGUGUGCUUGCGCAGCCAGAGGAGCCCAAAAUAAACAAAAGAAAGAGAAAACAAACCCAAGCUGUCACAGGACCUGAGGAGUGCUUUAUAUAACAAUCCUACAAUGCCAGAAGAGCUAGGGGAACCUGGAUUCACUGGUGGCAGAGACUAGGCUGGGCAUUCAGGGGCUGAGCGCAAGGUGGGGCAUGUUUUUUUUUUUUUUUCCUGUGUCCUGGAACUUGCUCUGUAGGCCAGGCUGUCAUGGAAUUCAGAGAUUUCCCUUCUGAGAGCUGGAAGUAAAGCUAUGUUAUACGAAGCCUGGGAUGACCUGUUACUUGCAGUUGCAUUUUUAGCAGCUUUUCCACCUGAGAUCCUACUUGCUGUAAGUUCUUGUCUGGCUAAAGAUGGCAGCAGGAAGACCACAAGAAGGAAGUGCUCAUUGCUGGAUGAAGGAGUUUCCCCUCUUUCUCUAGUUACAUGUGUCUUUACAUGUGUGCUUCUUGAGCUCUCUGCCGCAGAGCUGUACAAUCCACUGGCCUGUUUAUAUUUAUUAAAAACUUUCACACCCUUAA